rnacentral:rRNA from 1 species
GAUGAACGCUAGCGGGAGGCUUAACACAUGCAAGUCGAGGGGCAGCAUAGGGUAGCAAUACUCUGAUGGCGACCGGCAAACGGGUGAGUAACGCGUAUGCAACCUACCCUGUACAGGGGGAUAACCCGGAGAAAUUCGGACUAAUAUCCCGUAAUAAUAUCCGGAGGCAUCUUUGGAUAUUUAAAGUUCCGACGGUACGGGAUGGGCAUGCGUAACAUUAGCUGGUUGGUAAGUAACGGCUUACCAAGGCUAUGAUGUUUAGGGGUCCUGAGAGGGUGGUCCCCACACUGGUACUGAGACACGGACCAGACUCCUACGGGAGGCAGCAGUGAGGAAUAUUGGUCAAUGGGCGCAAAGCCUGAACCAGCCAUCCCGCGUGCAGGAAGACGGCCCUAUGGGUUGUAAACUGCUUUUCCAGGGAGAGAAAACUUACGCACGUGUUGCGUGACUGACGGUACCUGGGAAUAAGCAUCGGCUAACUCCGUGCCAGCAGCCGCGGUAAAAAGUGUGUGUA